UAUGUUUGACCAGAGCUAACAAUACUAAAGUACCUCCGAGCAACCCCAUUUUAAGCAGACUUUCGGCAAUUUGCUCAUUUUCUGAGAUCCCUAUUCGAAUUAAUUCUGACUCGACAGACAGAUCCGUUACUAACAAAUACGAUACGAUUACGAAGUGCAUACCAGAAGAUCUCACUCCGGAGUGUAUAUCGUGGAUUCUGCUAAUUACUGUCAUAUUUAGCAUAUAUCUGUGCUACAGCGUGAUAGUAUCCAUAGAGCGGCCGUACGAGCCAAAUAAUACCCAAGUAUAUAAUUAUACGGUGGAUUAUACUAAUUCAUGGGAGACUAUUGAUACUGACAUAGUAACCAAUAUGGAAAUAACGCCAACUGAAACUAGUUCAUGGGAUGCCGAAGAGAACAUUACCGAGUACACCGUUUCCCCUCUCAGACCUAUUGUGCGGCAAGAGCCAUAGCGCAACAGAGGCGGCAGCGGCAAAGAUACUCGGCAGCAACCGCUACUCGAGAAAGCGGUAAGACCGGUUGAACAGGCAGUAGGGGGGCAUAAAUGGCAGAAGAUUACCCGGUAGGUCGUGGGAGAUUUCGUUUCGGCCUUUGCCGUCGCCGCAACUGAACUUUUUUUCGUAACGCCAAACCCGCCCACGUCAGAGCCGCUGUCGUUGUUCCUACAAAGGCCAAAACUACGCGGGUGCUACGCUGAACUCUCAUUAUAAUGGAGUGCUAAGAGAAGCAUAGCUCAGUCGAACAGUCAUGACGAAAUUCUUGAAUAAACACAAAAAAACUGGGCACCGAGAUACGUAAAAUGUGCCCGAUGUGUUGGAAUUAAAAUUGUCCUAAAGUAGAACCCUUCAAACACCUGGACGUUUAUCUCUCAUUGUCGAUCUCUACAUUGCAUGGAACAGAAACAACUGUCUAAUGUGAAAACGACAUAUGUAUGCGACACCAUAGCGUUAAUACUGCGCAGACAU